UUUUUUUUUUUUUUGGUUAGGAAGUGUGAAGUUUUGUGUGUAUGACUUCUCCCGAGUCUUUGCAGCUCCUUGCCACUCUUGGUCCGCCUCCAAGCUUUGGUUGCUGCCAUGUUCCCUCCUGCCCCAGCCAGGCUUGCCUCUAAUGCUGUGAGUGCCUGGCCCCUUCCCAGUGAGCUGACCCUGGCCUGGCUUCUGUCUGUUGUGGGAGGAGCUGGCCCUUAGCAGGCUACUCAACAUCCCUGAUCCCUGCCUGAGUGCCCUGCCCAGGUUCCCAGGUGAGUGAGGCUGGCAAGCUUUAGGAUUAAGUCCAGCCCUACUGGGUUUCCCAGAAGCCUUGGUGCUCCAGGCUGUGAGCCAUCUGGGGCCAAAAGAGUAAGCUGUUCCCAGGCCUUAGGCCAAGCAGAUCCUGUCCAGAGGACCCUGGAGAAGCAGGGCUCUGUUGGCCCACUGCUCUCUGGCCAGGCCUGUCUGUGGCCAUGCUGCUAUGGAGGAAGGCUGCCUCAAGUCUCCCUCAGGCCCCUAGGUUUUUGAAGGCUGCAGCCCAGAGAGGGUCAGAACUCAGGGGCAAUUACACUGCCCCUUCUGCCAAACAUGCCCCAAACCGCCUCAGCUCUGGCAGCUGGCACCUUCCGGGACCAGGGUCUUUCCUUGUUCUGUAGCCCUUAUCUGCCCACAGCACCCCAGUGCCCAGGUACUCCCACCAGCAGCAGAGCUGAGCCCACCCGCUGUCCAGAAGAUACUACAGCUCCCUCCAAGGCAGGAGGUCCCCACUCCAGCCUCACAGUGGCAGCAGGAAGCCACCUCCAGACCAGCACUUGGACAGUCCUCUGUCCCUCCAGCCCAGUCAGGUUGUCCCUGAGAAGCUGCUGCGCUGUGUGACAGGCAGUAACAGCAAGCUCUCUGGAUAUCUCCUGCACCCUGUCCUUGUAUCUCAGCAUUGCUUUUCAUUGUUGUAGCUACUGAGGAGACCCAUGCACAUAAGCAGGCUUUAGGGAGCAAAGCUGGCCCUGGAAGCAGCCUCUGGUGUGGCUUUUUCUGCCCUCUUUCUUCUCUGUGCCCGUUUUUCCGGGCUUGCCUGCCUACAGUCAGAAGGGGCCUGGCUGCUCCCAGAACUCAGGGAGAGGCGACUGAUCUUCCCAGAGGAAACUCUCCCUGCCAGGUUGCUUCGCCCAUGCAGCACUUGGGCAGCCUCAGCCCAUCCUUUCCAUCCCACGUCCUCUGGCCCUGCAGGCCCUGAGCAGAACUCGCAUCCCAUUGCUUUCCUACCUGGGUCUGGGGAAAUGUCUGUACUUCAGGAUGUCACAGAAAUACAUUUUGUGCAAAGUG
rnacentral:lncRNA from 1 species